GACGAACGCUGGCGGCGUGCCUAAUACAUGCAAGUCGAACGAGUGGCGGACGGGUGAGUAAUGUCUGGGAAACUGCCCGAUGGAGGGGGAUAACUACUGGAAACGGUAGCUAAUACCGCAUACCAUCGGAUGUGCCCAGAUGGGUUUGGGGAGUAGGUGGGGUAACGGCGCCCCUAGGCGACGAUCCCUCGCUGGUCUGAGAGGAUGACCAGCCACACUGGAACUGAGACACGGCCCAGACUCCUACGGGAGGCAGCAGUGGGGAAUAUUGCGCAAGGGGCGCAAGCCUGAUGCAGCCAUGCCGCGUGUAUGAAGAAGGCCUUCGGGUUGUAAAGUACUUUCAGCGAGGAGGCGUUACUCGCAGAAGAAGCACCGGCUAACUCCGUGCCAGCAGCCGCGGUAAUAC
rnacentral:rRNA from 1 species